AUUGAACGCUGGCGGCAGGCCUAACACAUGCAAGUCGAGCGGAUGAAGGGAGCUUGCUCCUGGAUUCCGCGGCGGACGGGUGAGUAAUGCCUAGGAAUCUGCCUGGUCGUGGGGGAUAACGUCCGGAAACGGGCGCUAAUACCGCAUACGUCCUGAGGGAGAAAGUGGGGGAUCUUCGGACCUCACGCUAUCAGAUGAGCCUAGGUCGGAUUAGCUAGUUGGUGGGGUAACGGCCUACCAAGGCGACGAUCCGUAACUGGUCUGAGAGGAUGAUCAGUCACACUGGAACUGAGACACGGUCCAGACUCCUACGGGAGGCAGCAGUGGGGAAUAUUGGACAAUGGGCGAAAGCCUGAUCCAGCCAUGCCGCGUGUGUGAAGAAGGUCUUCGGAUUGUAAAGCACUUUAAGUUGGGAGGAAGGGCAGUAAGUUAAUACCUUGCUGUUUUGACGUUACCAACAGAAUAAGCACCGGCUAACUACGUG
rnacentral:rRNA from 1 species